rfam:Homo sapiens chromosome 3, GRCh38 reference primary assembly.
GCCGGGCACGGUGGCUCAUGCCUGUAAUCCCAGCACUUUGGGAGGCUGAGGUGGGCGGAUCACCUGAGGUCAGGAGUUCGAGACCAGCCUGGCCAACAUGGUGAAACCCCAUCUCUA